UCGACAAAACAGAAAGUCUCAUAGUAUAGUAGGUCAUCCCGGAAAAGUAUAGUUAAGUCAACAUCAGUUAAGUCAAAGGACCAGACAUCAACUCCUGUGAUCUUAGUAUCUCUAAGAACAACUGGUCUCUACAUACCUGACAAACCAUGCAAACAAUAAAUUUAUUACAAUGUAUAAUUAUUUAUAUCCUCAACAAAAUUAGGUCAAUCAAAUUCCUGGGAAAUAUGAAAACAAAAACUUGUUUGCAUUGUAUUAAUUAUGCUUAUAUAUAAUUAUGCAAAGCAUAGACGUUGCUGUCAUCCGUUCAAUGAACUGAAAGUAUGACCGAACCUAAGAAUAACAUUAGGUGAAAUAGUAAGUUAGAGAAGACAUCCACAGCUCUAAACUUAGAUAACCAUCAGUAUGGAACAUUCAGGAUUCCAAAAAGUAGUAUAUUGUAGUAACUAACCAUAACAUAUUAUGGAACAUAUAAAAGAAUUUAGUCUUAAUGAUAAUGGGCAAUUUUGGAGUUAUAAAUCAGCCAAUCAGGUUAUGCAUCAGUUCAUUCUAGAUCGUUCCAGAGUCUUACAGGUGAAAUUACUUCACACAUGACAACUAUUGUUCAAAUUAUGAAAAUCUAUUUCAUAGUGCAGUCCCCAAGGGGAUGAGAUGUGCGUUUUUGUCUUAACAAUUGCAGCCCUCCUUUCACCAUCCUCUAAACGGCUGGACUACAGGCUUCACUAGAUAUUUAGUACCUCAAGAAUUCACGUUAGCAGAUGAAAUUAACAUGGCUAGUAAUUUCGUAUAUUAACUGGCCCACACUAAUGAAGAAAGUCCAUUGCUUUUAUUUUUUCUGUUUCUGACUCUCCAAAUAGUUUAAAAAAUAUAUUAAUGCUAUUAUGAUUUUCAAAGUUACCAUGAAUCACUCGGUUCUUCUCAGUGUUCGAUUUGUGACCAAUGUCGUGGUUUUCCAAGUAAUUCUUUUCAACAUUUUUGAAUCAUCGACAUCAAUUCUUUACAUUUGGUAUUAUAGAUAAAAAUUCACCCAAUAGUUUAGAGUAAUCGCAUUCACCAUCACCAAAAUUAAGUUGAUAUGAUUGUUGAUCCUUUCAUUUUUUUGCUAGAAUAGAGUUUAUAAUCAAAACUUGGAGCAUCUUAUCACUUGCAGGAUCUGAUUGACAAGGCCAGGACAACUCUAGUUGGGAACAGAAUAUCAUUGCAGCGGUUGCAAGCAUCCACUGGUGUUCCUAUCACUAGUGAUUCUGAUGAUCCUGCAUACAACAACUUCAACCAGGUAGUUUUAUUGAUUCGCAUCAUAUCAGGCUAAAUAUGAAUAUUUCUUCUGUGGCUUGAGCUUCAGUUACUUUAAUUUUCUCUUGGAAGUGUACAACUAUGCAUAAUCAGGUGGGAACCAAAUAUAAGACUCUAAAAGUAGAUUUCCUUCCAUCCAUCAUUCAAUGACUCUGUAGAGUGUCUCAUUCAUAUUUUUUCUUUCCCUAAAAUUUCAUCACAUUUAGAGUGUGUUUGGACAAUAUAAUUUAACUGGGGAUUGAAAAUUAAGAAGUGUUUAUUAAUACUAAUUUUAAAAUCCCUCAUAUUAACCAUGUAAAGGAUUCUUUCGAGAAACUCCAUCUCAAACAUGACUUAUAAGUACUGCUCAAAAAGAAAAAAGAACGAAAAAGAUAUUGUUCAAACCUAAAGUCUACCUGCUCUUCUAUGGGCCUCCUCUCUCUCUAUCUCUGCCUCAACCCUCUGUAUGUGUGUCGGUCUGUCUAUGUCUUGGUCUCUAUCUAUAUAUACACACACAAUCACACAUACAUAUUGAUGUUUGUCUACGUAUAUCUGACCUUCCUUAGAUCCUGCUAUUUGCGAGAGCACUGUGAACAGGGUAUGACCUUGUAUAUAUGGGCAUAAUGCAAGUGCAAGGCCGUGCAACCUUUUGUUUUUUUUACUGGCAAGAUAGGUGAAACAAUGUAAUAUUUGGUCUUCACUUGAUAAUUCAACUGAAGGAUGUGAAGGGCAUGCAUAAAUAUGAGAGCAUGUAAAUGUUCAUAUGAUUUAGUGAUGUGCGUCAACCAUUAUAAUAAUGAAAAAUAAACAAAUAGGAGAGGUCGAAAAACAUCCUUAUUUUACAAAUUUAAUAAUGGUGCUCCAUGACAUCAAAUCAAAUAAAAAUUGACAUUUGCUAAUAUUUUUGCAUGGUCUUUAUAUCCGUACGGUUGGAUUAUUGAGUGAAUGGUCAAAAUUAGGUAAUUUUACCUACCUUGCACAAAGAAAAAGAAAGUUGCACAACGCACCUCCAUUAUUCCAUACACGUACAUAUGUAUUAUAUACAAUUCCCUCAAUUCCAUAAAAAGAGUCCCAUUUGCCAAUUUUGUCUCAAAAUAAAUUCUUUUGGUUUUAGUACAUAAUGACACAAUGACCUCAAGUUUAUCAUCACAAUUCAAUAUUAUGACAUCACUAUUAAACUAAACGCUCACUUAUUUUAGGGAUAAACUUGGAACAAAAAAUAUAUCCUUACUGUUUGUAAUUUUUUUAAAUUGGACUCUUUUUGGGAGUAUUAUGUAUUAUUAAUGUAAGAGUUAACUGCAGCUAGAUCUCGGAUUUGUUAUUUACUUAUCCAGUCAUUCUUUGUCGGGGUGUCCUAAUUCAGAUACAGGCCAGGGAUAGUGACCGGUGAAUAGAAGUUAUAAUUAUGUAAACAUUGAUUUCAAACCUUGGGAAUAUGUUGCGAAGGGGACUUUGGCUGAGAUAUGUUGGAAAAUAAUAUUGAAUAUAGUAGUCGUUGGGUAACCCAAAGGGGUUGCUCAACUGUUUGUGGGCGUCAUGAUAAGUAUCUUUAGUAGGGACAGUUUAUGCGUUCAAAACUUCAUAGAGACACUUUAGGUCAGAGGAUUACCCAGUGCACACCCAAAGGCAAAGGCCAAAGGGUGGUGAAUAGUUACUGUGGGGUGCUUCACCAAAAGAUACAAAAAAGAAAAAUCACUAGGCGGGCGUUAUUGCAAAGAGUACCUUGUACCAAUUUUUCGUCAACAACUGAGAUAUAUGUGUUCUAUAUGUUGACAGUAGACUAAUAUAUUUUUUAAGAGUCAUCAUGCAGUCAAAAAAAUUUCUAAACAAGAUAUUUUGAAAGCAUGACAUUUAAAAGUGAAGGGAGCAAAUGAAAGAAUCUAAAAAAUGCUAUGUGAUUUAAAAAUAAGGAACAUAUUCUUAUAAAGCCCUUGGACAAUGACUAGAUCAAAUUUAAUAGAAGGUUAGGAUCCACUAUCUAGAAUCAUCCUUAAAAUUAUCUAGGAUAUUUACAUUUAUAGUAAUUACAUGGGUAAAUAUAGAAUACUCUUUUUGAAACACUAAUAUGUGAAGGAAGAUUCUACGGAAUGCCACCUAGUGUAGCUAACUAAGCGCCUUAUGCAUGUCAAGUAAACGAUGACAUGGUGUAAUCUCAUUGAAUAUGCGCUUGUUGUGACGCUACGCUUAAAAAUAACUCAAUCAAUUUUAACUAUAUAUCAAUUGGUUUUAACUAUCUUUUUUGAAAGUUAUUCUCAGCGCAACACAUUCCAAAUAAAUUAUUUGUACCAGCUAAGUGAUUUGAUGAAACCUACCCCUAUCAUACUCUGUACCACGAAAAGUGACAUUCGUUUCCGAUUUUGUUUCACGUACCACAUCAAAUUACGAUCUAGGUAACAUUAGGAGAGAAGCUCCAAGGUUUCAGAAACUGUCAACAGUGCCCUCAUAAUUUUAUGUUGCUUAUUUUGGUUACAGUCUGUGAAGGUUGUCUAUUUUCCAAAUGGUGUCUAAAGAAUUUACACCAUUUGCCAGCAAGCAACCGAAAUGGAAAGAUGGCGAGGUUUCCAUGAGUUGCUACCAGGGCAGCAGUGUUAUGCGCUGGUGGUUUCUGGUGCUUACUUACGUUAAGGAACCAAGCUUCGCUACAUAUAUUGUUCUCUCGACUCUUAUUUUGCUGAAAUGAUAUUUGGUUGGAAGAAUAUCUACCUGACCAUGUGAUCAUUUUACUCAUGCUUUGCAGAUAAUUGAUGAAUGGACUGUACAAGUGAGUUCCAAAACAGGUAAAGAAUCUGGACUUUUCUGGGUUUGUAACCUAUAAAUCUUGGAGCAUAAACUUGAUGCAACAAUAUUGCUUAAAGGAAUGUUUAGUAGCAAAUCACAUAGUUGGUGGGUUUGGAGAUUCUAAUGCUUGACCCACGUCCUAAUAAGAUAGAAAAAGUAGCUUAAUGUUUUCGGGUGUGUUGUGUCUUGUGGCAAUUGAUGCCUCAAUAUUUUUCCCUUUUUCAAAAGCAUCUUUCUUGUUCCCAUUUGCAAAUUUAUUUUGUUCCACAAAAGGAGCCCUAUUUUUAUUGAGUAGUAUAAAACGACACAAUAUCCUCAAAUUUGCUAUCCUAAUUUUAUUAUCAUACUAAACUUACAACUUAUUAUUUUUAGGUAUAAACAUGUAAUUACAAAUACAUUCAUAAUAUUCGCAAUAUUGCAAAUGGGACUCUUUUUGUGCAGCGAAAGUACUAGUGUACUACUGUUUAUACUUAUCCUAAAACUAUCUAAUUUCAAGUAUAACAAGAGAAUGUUUCUGGUCAUCAUCCCUUGUGAUACAUUUACAUCCAAUAUUCAUAGCCACAAUCCUGUCUAAAUCUGCUACACUCUAAAAACAUUCAAAAGGUUAGUAAUUUAGGUAUAUAGUUCUUGAUUCAAGAAUCCAUCCGGAUAAAUGAUCCUUCACAUUACUCUAGAUGGAAUUAUUUUAUGGGAAACGAGCGAAGUAUCAGCAAGGAAUUAAUUUAAAUACAUGCUACAUUUGAUCAAAUAAUAUAUAUAUAUAUAUAUAUAUAUAUAGAGAGAGAGAGAGAGAGAGAGAGGAUCAGGUAAGGACUCCCUUACGAUACUAAAAUGCGGAUUAUUUUUUUUUUGUGUACAUACAUUUUUUGGUAUAGGUAUCCAAAUCACGUCCAAAGCAUUGUAUUAUGAAAAAAUUUCAGUUCCAUAAAAUAUUAAUUUUUUUUUUUAGUUUUAAAAAAAAAAGCAAAAAAAAAAAGUCCACAUUUUAGUAUCGUAAGGGAGUCCUUAUCUGAUCCGGACCCAUAUAUACAUACUACAUGUUUUGCAUUUCUUUAAAAUGUAACAAGUUUUGGGAAAGAUCUAAGUACUAUAAGGAAUUGUGGUAAGGAAAAACAUUGUGCAUUUCUAAUAUGUACGUUGAUUAUGCAGGUGACGAGGAACCUGAUUCAGGAUUGGAUGGUAUCAACCAAAAGCUCUUUUUAGCAAUUGUUCAAGGCAACUGAACAAGAACAAGUGGUAUAAAUUUAGAGAAACUGGUGGGUCAAUCAACAAGGGAUUCUGUCCAAAAAGAUUCCAAAAAACAAACAAACAGUAGUACAUGUUAUUGUUUCGUGAUGUUCUUCUAUGGCUUCUCGCCCUCUCUUUUUCCUGUUUCCACGUGCAAGUGGACGAAGGGUCCAAAGGCUGUGAGCGUGCCGGAUUUUAAAAGAAUUUUGAAGUUCUAGAGGACCUUAAUGUCUGUCCAGUGUUGGCCAUUACAAUUUCAGAUUCCUGGUUGAAUGAUGAUAUGUUUUUAGUAUCUGGUAUGGAUGAAUCAAGUUGGAGG
rnacentral:lncRNA from 1 species